rnacentral:lncRNA from 1 species
GUGUGCCUGGGUUUUUCUGCUGCUACAUCAGCACUAUUCUCAACGAAGAUGGGAACAUUAUUCUUGGACUUAUAAAAAUUUGGAAGAUACCCUUAGAAAAGCAGAGGAAAGGAAUAGGAAAGGACAGCAGUUCCACUGGAAACUACUUUAAGCCUAGCCCAAGAAAUGUGUCUGACCUGCUUUCUGGAAGUCAUCCAACCCUGAUCACAAGCAGGAAUUUUUAUGAUCUCAAUGGACAGAACAAGCUGCUGAGCUCUAGCCUGGAAAUCUUCUCUUGGAAUGGAUAUAAGAAAAAAGAAGAAAAAAAAGCAAUUUGGAAAAGCCAAACAUGUGGAUCAUGUCUGAGAGCAUAUUACUCUUUGGAGAUGAACUUUGCAGGCAGAACAAGUGAACAAGGACUAACUACAUAGACCUUGGGGAAGAACUCCUGGGCUUGUCUCACAGUGCAUCAAUGUCUGAUACACUUAUGACACAGAGAGCUUCAGCUGAGAAUUAGUUGUCUCUGAGCUUUUUAACCAUCCAUAUGAAUAUUCCUCCCUUUGCUGAGAUAUGGACUGUUUCACAUGCCUGAUUAGUUGAUUUGCCAACCUUAUAAUUAUUGCAUUUGUAAUUUGUAAGUAGGAUUAAUUCCUUAAGACAGUCAGCGUGUAGCACUAUCAGCUGCAUGCAAGACUGGAGCUUAGAAGUCUAAGCUCCAUUUUUGAGGUUAGACUAUUGAUGAAAAGGGGAAGGGGGAGGAAGGAGUUUGGGGAUCAAACAUACUUGUCAGCCCAGUUGUUUCCUAAAAAUUCCCAGUCCAAACUAUAUCAUCCCUUUCAUUUUGUAUAUUUAGAGCCCCCCAUUGGGACUUUAAAGCUUGAAUUUCUGGCAAAAGAUCAAUGUACUAUAUCUUUUAAAAAAGAAAAAAUGUUAAAU